rnacentral:lncRNA from 1 species
GCAACUCAAAGAGCUUCCCAGUGUGGAUGGACCUCACCGGGCUGAGAUCCCAGAGUGUACAGCAGUAAAAGGUUUACGACCCAAUGCCAUUUUAAGAGAAGAAAGAAGAAAAAAGGAGAGGCGGCGCCAUCUUCGGCUCCAGACAACCGGCCACCUUCCUGGCGAGAGCCACAGAGCUUCUGAGGCAGCGCCAUCUUCAGCUCCAGACAACCGGCCACCUUCCUGGCGAGAGCCACAGAGCUUCUGAGGCAGCGCCAUCUUCAGCUCCAGACAACCGGCCACCUUCCUGGCGAGAGCCACAGAGCUUCUGAGGCGGCGCCAUCUUCGGCUCCAGAAAACCGGCCACCUUCCUGUAUAUGUCCUACAGUGUUGAACAAAACACAAGAAGAAGAUAUUUGGGGCCAUGAAUAACUCAAGGACCCAGCCAGAUCUCAACAGUGGCACCUGCCCAACCUGCCAUUGUGCAAGUUUCUGCCACAUACUUUGAGAAGACACCUUCAAAGCUUAACAGGAGACCCUUUCAUCCUUACUUUAGAUGAACCUGAUAUUCUCAACCUGAGUGCUCUGGAUCUCAUCAUCCUGUAUAAAUCAUAAAUAAGUGCAGUACCAACAGAGGCCAGAAGAGGUUUCAAAUCUCUUGGAGCUACUGUUACAGGCUGUGGCAGGAGCUAUAUAGUCCAUUCUGGUCUCUAACUCCCCAUGUAGCUGAAGUUGACUCUAAACUUCUGAUUCCUGCCUUCACAGAUGAGGAUUGCGAUUAUGGAUUCAGAAGUACAGUCCAUUAUCAUCAAAUUGGAAGCAUGGCAGCAUCUAGGGACUCUCCAAAUCCUUUUGGCAGACCAAGCAUUCCUCCUUCCAGCCCGGGGAUCAGAUGUUCAAGCAAGUUAAAGUCAAUGAAGCUGUACUUGCCUCAGCUUACAUUCACCUCAUGUCAUAGAUGUCAAGACUUCACACACCUUUCCUCGCUGAAUUAAGUACCAGUUUUUCUUCUUUGCAGAAUAUAAAUAAUGUGUAGGAAUAAAUGGAGAAAAAAGCCGUC